AGCUAACAUGAUGACACAGUUAAGAACACUUAACGUUAUGAAACACUAUCGGUAAGCAACAGUGAGCCUUCUCGUCGAUACAGCCGAAUGCCAAAAUCAAUAAUAUUUUGUUUUUUUGUAAAAUAAUUAAAAUGACCGUGCACUGAAGUGAAAAUAUUUGACUAUAUUGUGGAGUACUAUCAACAAAAUGACGAAAUUUUAGAAUGGAAAUGGCGAGGGCGAGCGUUGAAUGUCUAAGCCCGCAAGAGGAACAUCCUUGACGCUGACGCAAUGCACAAUGAUGAAUUAUACGGAAUGUCAGUU